CUUAAAUUACCAAUUUACAAGUUAGUUGGACGGUAAACGACCGUUAUUUUCACUUUUACUGUCGUUUAAGUACUUUUAGUGGCCCUAAAAGUUGACUUUUUGAUCGGGCCAAAAUUUGAGAAAAUUUCCUUCAUGAAAGUUGUAGAGGACGUUAACUCGAGCGCGUGCAUAUGUGGUGCGUAAAAAUUGGAGUUCGGAUGUGAAAGUUAUAAGCGAAAUAGUAAAGUUACUGUUUAUUGGUAGAAAGUAUAAAUUUGAAUUUUUACUGUUGGGGGCCGGUAACUUUCUUUUCCUCUCUCUCUCCUCCUCCCCGUGCUUUCCUCUCUCUUUCGGCGAUCUGCAGCUCCGGCCUUCUCUCUUUUUCCGGCCACCUGGUGGUGCAAGCUUGGUGUCAGUAGACUCGCCUCCUCCCCCUUGUUGCAUAUGUGGUGGUGUUUUGCAGAGUUUUGGCCGGAGGAGCUCGAUUUGGAGCCAAGAAGAUUACUGUAGCAGUUACCAUUUCCGGCGAUAUCUUCCGAUUCCGGCCGUCUCCGGCCACCAAACCGGCGUCGAAGGAGCGGUUUUUCCCAAGGAUCAUGUUGCCCCUAGCCUUGAGCCACGAUUUGCAGUGUGGAGGUCGAAUCGAAGGUUUGAAAUUCCGAGUUACUAUUCACAAUUCGGGUUCAAACUUCUCUUUAAUUGUUGAGGAUAUCGUACCGAGCCCUGGCUCGAUGAAGGAACUCGUAUACGUGAUCGUCGGAAUAGUACUUUUGCAGGCGAAAUUAGUUGAGGUCGGGCGUACAUUGGAGUUGAGGCAUAGUCAACAGCCUAGCUUCCGCGGUUGCCUUUGAGUUAGGUUGUCAUUAUUUACCUUUCUAUUAGAAUUGCUCUGAUUACCUAUGGGAUUUAUGUUUUUCAAGUUGAGGUUUGUGUUUUGUGAAUUGGAGAUUGGUGUUGAGUUGGGGAGCAGGGUGGCUCCAGAAGUAUAAGGAUGAUUUG